UUUUAAUCUUAGAAGGACGAUGUUGGUGUCCCAAAGCAGAAUCCUUUGUCCCGGCGGAGCCACCAGCAGAGCCAGGAGCCCCCGAAGGACUUUGACCACACCCCCCACCCCACCCAGCCUGUGCCUGGUCCCCUGAGUGGAGCCUGGGCCAUCCUCGACCUCACUGCUGGGGUGAUGGAGAAGCCCCUGCCUGAGGCGAGAGUUUCUCAGGCGGCCGGAGUUUCCUCCCGUCUGCUCCAGACACAUUUAAACAAGCUGAGAACUUCCGUCCCCCCACACUCCCCCCACGGACCCCCACGGACCCCUCUGCAAAUGAACAUGGGCCUGGAAAUCGGGGUUUGGGUUACAGAGAGCACGGGGAGUUCUGUUCGUGAAGUAACACGGAGCACGAACAUUAGCAGAUGGAGUCUCACUCUGUAGCCCAGGCUGGAGUGCAAUGGCGUGAUCUCGGCUCACUGCAACCUCCACCUCCCAGGUUCAAGCGAUUCUCCUGUCUCAGCCUCCAAAUAGCUGGGAUUACAGGUGUGCGCCACCACGCCAGCUAAUUUUUGUAUUUUUAGUAGAGAUAGGGUUUCACCGUAUCGGUCAGGCUGGUCUCGAACUCCUGACCUCGGGUGAUCUGCCCACCUCGGCCUCCCGAAGUGCUGGGAUUACAGGCGUGAGCCACCGCACCCAGCCAGCCUUUCGGUCUUGAAGAGUCUCUGGGAGGGCCUCAGAGAAUGUCUUGGUUUCUUCACUCUUGGGUUCCCAUCGACUGAGGUCCGGGCUGGGAAGGGGUGAUGAGCCCAGGACUCUUCUGGCAAGGGUGAGUGUCUGUGUUGGGAGGCUCACUUCUGCCACUGCUCCUUGGUGACGUGGGGCUGGCUGGAGAGUCCCUCCGUUCCUGGGAGUCCCUCAGUGGGGGGUGGCGGGGGGAGGUGGGCCACUGCAAUGAAUCUGACACCAGCCACCUCUCUCCCCGCCCUGCCGGCAGCCCUCACUCAUGGGGGUGUCUAUCCUCCUUUCCCCAAAGCUGGGGGUCCUGAGUGCGGUUGAAGUAACGUCUGGUCCUCCUUAGAACAGUGGGGCUUGGAAUUCAUUCAAGGGAAGAAGAGUGAAGGAACGCAGAUGCCGACUGCGUGGAGCACCCCCAGCUGCGGCCCCUAGAGCCUGGGAGCUCUGUGAGCCAGAAAGAGAACGGCUGGGGAGAGGGCUGUAUGGGGCCCCAUUCUUCCAAGGCUGCUGCGGAGGACCGACAGGGCCCAGGGACCCUGACUGAGGUGUGCUGAGCACAGCAGCUCUGGACAGGCCACACCGGCCUCUCUGUUGUCUGUCUGUCAUCUGUCUGCCUGUUGGUUGGCAAGAACAGACCUGGUGCUGUGAGAAGAGGCCCCCUGGGCCCUGCCUCUCCCAUUGACUGAGCCUGGACUGCAGACCCAGC
rnacentral:lncRNA from 1 species